rnacentral:rRNA from 1 species
UACGUAGGGGGCAAGCGUUGUCCGGAUUUAUUGGGCGUAAAGCGCUCGCAGGUGGUUCGUCGCGUCGUGCGUGAAAGACCCCGGCUCAACUGGGGGGCGUCGUGCGAAACGGGCGGACUGGAGGCCAGUAGGGGGAUGCGGAAUUCCGGGUGUAGUGGUGGAAUGCGUAGAGAUCCGGAGGAACACCAGCGGCGAAGGCGGCAUCCUGGACUGGUCCUGACACUCAUGAGCGAAAGCGUGGGGAGCGAGUCCGG